GCAAACUUGGUCAUUUAGAGGAAGUAAAAGUCGUAACAAGGUCUCCGUUGGUGAACCAGCGGAGGGAUCAUUACCGAGUUUUCAACUCCCAAACCCCCUGUGAACCUAUACCUUUACUGUUGCUUCGGCGGGAUCACGCCCUGGAGUCAGAUCCGGGGGCCCGCCGGGGGACCGAAACUCUUGUAUUAUUUACUUUUUUUGGCAUGUCUGAGUGGAAUCAUAUAUAAUGAAUCAAAACUUUCAACAACGGAUCUCUUGGUUCUGGCAUCGAUGAAGAACGCAGC
rnacentral:misc_RNA from 1 species